AUAUUUGACUUACACUUAAAUGUAUGAAAAGCAAAUCGGUGUCUUUUGCAACUUGAGCAACGCGGUGACUGCCAGCAGCGUUGUACGUUUUGCUUUUACAAGAGCAGCCCUGCAAUUCGGGGUGUUAUUUCUUCGUUUUGAGCCACGCCGUUUCCUGCUGGUCUUUCAAAGAGGGUAAUGCCGAGUUUGUAACACAUCUGAUUGCUAUGGCCAAUUCCAGCUAAUGGCAAUAAUGCUGUGCUCAGGAACUGGACCUGCUCGGGGUUGCAACACCGUAGGAGCAGAUGUUGGCUUUUUGACUUGAUGUGCAGAUGUCAUUAGAAGGAAGUAUGGGCACAAUUUCACUGCACAGGAUUCACUUCAGACAAUGAAAAGAAGAGUCAGCUGAAAUGACAAAGUAGCAGAAGUCUCUUUUCCACAUACUGAAAUGGCUGAAUAAGCUACACAGAGCAGAAAUGACUUUCCUGCCUGCGAUUUGCAGAGUCCCAGGACAGCAGCUCACACCUGGGGGCGACAGAGCUGUGGCAGUCUGUCAUCUUUGAGCUAUUUUCUCUAUGCACCGAGAAGGAGAGCGGUGAUGCUGCCUUCUGUCUAUGACAGGAAUUGUUUGAAUUAUUUACAAUGAACGGAAAGACAGCUGGGGGGAGAGGAUGGAGAGGCUGGUGCAAUUCUAUAGACAUUGAUCCUGCCGGGAAAAAGAGCAAACUGACUUGCAAUACAAAUGGCGGUGUUGCAAAUGUGAAAGGAAGACCAUUUUCCAAUGUCACUUUCACAAGCUAAAAGAAGUCUCCAUACGUAUUAUGCAUAAGUGAAUGCACAUAGGUGUCCCAGAAGUUCAAGAUGGUUCCUUGUUUUCUUCGUUUCCUACUUAGUUCUCUUUCCAAUGGAAGCUGUGCAGUGGACUUUGAUCUUUUGCAAGAUUUCUCUUCCUGAAGAAAGGUGCCGGUUUAUUACCAAACCGCUUGUAAGAACAGAUCAAAGGCAGAGGAAGAGUGGGGGCUGCAGUCUGGCCAGCUGCUGUGAUGUUCUACAGAAAAUCAAGGACGAUAUCCACAGGACCUGCGAUGUAUCAAGCCAGCUCUUAGUAACAGAGGAAGGCCAAGAGUAGUUGACAAUAAGACUGUAAAGAAACAGUUAUGCUGGUGACACUUCUUAUAUGAGGACUGCCUUCCUAUUUUUCCACAAACGUAUUCCUGUUAUACAGUUUUUUGUUCUUUUAAUUAAGCACUGCAGGAGAAAAUAAUGGGAUCUUAAAGCCUCAUGUAUUUUGGAAAAGGUAGUAGUAAAUUGUACAGUUUUGACCUUUUCAGCUUUUUGUAAUUUGAUUGGCUGUCUGUUCUUUUUCCUCCACUAUUUACAGCUGCAGUGAACUGUGCAGAAGGGGUAGGAUGGCUAGCCAGCUCAAAUGCAGAAUAUUUAAAAGGUUAAAAUGUGCAACAUACUGGUGCCUUCCACAGAGUGUAUGGGCAUUAUAAAUUUCGUUGCGUUGAUCACAUAAAGGAUUGAGAAAUU
ensembl:lncRNA